rnacentral:rRNA from 1 species
CCUACGGGAGGCAGCAGUGGGGAAUAUUGGGCAAUGGGCGCAAGCCUGACCCAGCAACGCCGCGUGAAGGAAGAAGGCUUUCGGGUUGUAAACUUCUUUUAAGAGGGAAGAGCAGAAGACGGUACCUCUUGAAUAAGCCACGGCUAACUACGUGCCAGCAGCCGAGGUAAUACGUAGGUGGCAAGCGUUGUCCGGAUUUACUGGGUGUAACGGGCGUGCAGCCGGGAAGACAAGUCAGAUGUGAAAUCCCGCGGCUCAACCGCGGACCUGCAUUUGAAACUGUUUUUCUUGAGUACCGGAGAGGUCAUCGGAAUUCCUUGUGUAGCGGUGAAAUGCGUAGAUAUAAGGAAGAACACCAGUGGCGAAGGCGGAUGACUGGACGGCAACUGACGGUGAGGCGCGAAAGCGUGGGGAGCAAACAGGAUUAGAUACCCUAGUAGUC